CCCCUUUUUUGCCCCUCGUUCCUAGUCAGUUGGGACCAUAACCCCCAAAAUCUAUCCCAACCUUCUUUUUGAGGUUAUAAACCUUGUGUAUAAAUGUCAUGUAUUUCUAUUUAAUUAUACUAAAGUUAUUGUCCAGAAACCAACUGUCUUCAGACAAUGACAACAACGUGAUACCAAUAUACGACCACAAUUUUUUUCAAUUAUAUGGCAUCUAGACUAAAAUACACACCAAACAAAGCUACAUAUAUUAGAGCCCAUGUCAUAUAAAUUGUUCAUUUUAGACAUUCUAUAAUUUGGAUAAAUG
rnacentral:lncRNA from 1 species